GAAAGAAAGAGGAGAGGAAAGAAGAAGGAAAGAAAUUUUUUUUUUUGCCAUCAUAUUAGAAAAUAUGUUCUCCUACUAUUGGGCUUGAAUUCUUCAAAGUUGAAGGUAAGUUAAAAAAAAAGUUACCUAUUGUCAAAUUAUGUUUACUUUUAUAGUUGUUAGAUUUUUAGACUAAAUUCAAUUUUAUUGAAGGGGUUAAGUAUAAUGAAUUAUGAAAUUGAGUAAAAUGAAAGAAAAAAAUAGUUUAAGUGGUUAGAGAGACUUUAGAAAUCGCCUAAAAUGAUUGACUUUGGAUAUUGCAUAAUUAAUUAUUGAAAUUAUUUAAAAUAAUUAAUUGUUGAUUUAAAAAUUAUAUCAUAUUUCAAGCGGCGAUACGGACAUCGGAAUAGUUUACCAACCGAGUUGAUCUUGUGAACAUAGUUCUGUGAGUGGAAAAAUAUAAAUAUUUUUAAAAUAUUUAUAAAUUAAGUAUAUUGUUAAAGUAUGUGCAAUUAUGUAUUCGAAUUACAUGGUUAUUAUGAAAAUUUCUUUUAUUAUAAUACAUGUGGGAUUUCAAAGAUUGUAUACGGUACAUUGUAAAUUAGAAUAUGAGAUAUGAUUUUGAGAUCGACCAGAAAAGUACUCAUGAUUAUAUAUUUCUUCUAAUUCACAGAGGGGUCUUGACCAUGCUCUAUACUACACUAAGGAGUCGAUUGGGGAUGAAGGGUCGUGAUUGUGUAUAUAUAUUUCACUGAGGGGCCUUGGCCAUAUUUUAGAAUUGAUUACUAGAGGUCUUCAGACCGGCUAUCGUUCACGGAGGGGGGCCAAAGGUCCGUGGCGAAAGUUCUUAGCCCGAGGGGCGGAUUACGGAUUUUAGUCGAAGAGUACAUUUUUUGUGGAUUUUCCAGUACAUUUGAUGUGAUGAGAUUAUAGCAUAAUUACCAGCUUAUGUUUAUAUCAUGAUUUUGAGAUA
rnacentral:lncRNA from 1 species